rnacentral:misc_RNA from 1 species
CUCAUUGAAGAAUUAAUAACUUUUCGAUUUUAAUUUCGUGUAAAAAAGAGAUAUAUCUAGUCGAUGAUGUUAUCACCAUUUCAUUAUAUACAUAUUCUGUAAAAAAUAUACCACUUGAUCAUAAUAUCAGUUUAUUGUUUCCAAAAAGUUAUAAAUUCAUUCUAGGUUUUUUAUCCACAAUCUUUUCUUUUUUUAUCAACCACUAUAAACAGACUUAUACGAGAACACUAUUUACACUAUUUACUGACAACGAACCUACAUUCAUAUGGAGCUAUGCACCAUCCCUACAUUGUUUAAGUAUUUUUUUUAUGCAAGCUAUUUGUUGAAAUAAUUACGCGUACAAGGAAAACCGUGAGAAAACAAACUAUCUAAAGAUAAUUUCCAUUCGCAAACUCCGCGGAUGGUUUAGUUCCC